rnacentral:tRNA from 1 species
GGAGAUGUGGCCGAGUGGUUUAAGGCGCUCGCCUGGAAAGCGUGUUGGGGGCAACCCCUCGGAGGUUCGAAUCCUCUCAUCUCCGCCA